UACGUAGGGGCAAGCGUUGUCCGGAAUUAUUGGGCGUAAAGCGCGCGCAUGCGGUCUUUUAAGUCUGAUGUGAAAGCCCACGGCUUAACCGUGGAGGGUCAUUGGAAACUGGUCGACUUGAGUGCAGAAGAGGGAAGUGGAAUUCCAUGUGUAGCGGUGAAAUGCGUAGAGAUAUGGAGGAACACCAGUGGCGAAGGCGGCUUCCUGGUCUGUAACUGACACUGAGGCGCGAAAGCGUGGGGAGCAAACAGGAUUAGAUACCCU
rnacentral:rRNA from 1 species